rnacentral:ncRNA from 1 species
AUAAAGUUUAAUUUUGAUUUGGGGAAGUCAUUAUGUUUUUUAUUUAUAUGUAAAUUUUUGUGGGGUUUUAUAAAAAUUUUUAAGAAUAUUUUAUGGGGGUAAAUAUUCGCAGUAUGUAAAUUUUUUUAUUUAAGAAAUUAAGAAUGAUAAAUAAGUAAUAGUAUUAACAAAAUUUGUGCCAGCAGUUGCGGUUAUACAAAAAAUACAAAUGAAUUUUUUUGGUUUAUAAUAAAAUGUUUUUUUUUAAUGAAAAUUAGAUUUAUUAAGUGAAAUUUUAAAUUUAAAUUAGUUAACAGUUAGGUUAUUUGAAAUUAUGAAAUUUAGAUUUUAAACUAGGAUUAGAUACCCUAUUAUUUUAAAUGUAAAUUGUUUUAUAUCAAAGUAGUAAUAGUUAUGAUCUUCAAAUUUUAAAAUUUUGGCGGUAUUUUAGUCUAUUCAGAGGAACCUGUUCUAUAAUUGAUAUACCACGAUAAAAUGUACUUAAAUUAUUAGCUUGUAUAUCGUCGUUAUUAAUUAUUUUAUUAGAAAUUUAAUAAUUAAGAUUUUUUAUUAAAAAAUAAAUCAGAUCAAGGUGCAGUUUAUGUUUAAGAAGAAAUGGGUUACAAUAAAUUUAUUUAUUAUGAAUUUAUUUAUUUAAAUUAAUAAUGAAGGAGGAUUUGAUAGUAAUAAAAUUUAAAUAAAUUUUAUGAUUUUAGCUCUAAAAUGUGUACAUAUCGCCCGUCGCUCUUAUUUUAAAGUGAGAUAAGUCGUAACAUAGUAGGUGUACUGGAAAGUGUGUCUGGAAAUAC